rnacentral:rRNA from 1 species
UUGAACGCUGGCGGCAUGCUUUACACAUGCAAGUUGAACGGCAGCGCGGGGCAAUCUGGCGGCGAGUGGCGAACGGGUGAGUAAUAUAUCGGAACGUACCCUGGAGUGGGGGAUAACGUAGCGAAAGUUACGCUAAUACCGCAUACGAUCUAAGGAUGAAAGUGGGGGAUCGUAAGAUUUCAUGCUCCUGGAGCGGUCGAUAUCUGAUUAGCUAGUUGGUGGGGUAAAGGUCUAUCAAGGCAUUGAUCAGUAGUUGGUCUGAGAGGACGACCAGUCACACUGGAAUUGAGACAUGGUCUAGAUUCCUACGGGAGGCAGUAGUGGGGAAUUUUGGACAAUGGGCGCAAGCCUGAUCCAGCAAUGCCGCGUGAGUGAAGAAGGCCUUCGGGUUGUAAAGCUCUUUUGUCAGGGAAGAAACGGUGGGGGCUAAUAUCCCCCGCUAAUGACGGUACCUGAAGAAUAAGCACCGGCUAACUACGU